UAGGGAAUCUUCGGCAAUGGGGGGAACCCUGACCGAGCAACGCCGCGUGAGUGAAGAAGGUUUUCGGAUCGUAAAGCUCUGUUGUUAAGGAAGAACGAGUGUGAGAAUGGAAAGUUCAUGCUGUGACGGUACUUAACCAGAAAGGGACGGCUAACUACGUGCCAGCAGCCGCGGUAAUACGUAGGUCCCGAGCGUUGUACGGAGUUGUUGGGCGUAAAGCGAGCGCAGGCGGUUAGAUAAGUCUGAAGUUAAAGGAAGUGGCUCAACCAUUGUAGGCUUUGGAGACAGAUUAACUUGAGUGCAGAAGGGGAGGGUGGAAUUCCAGGUGUAGCGGUGAAAUGCGUAGAUAUAGGGAGGAACACCGGUGGCGAAAGCGGCUCUCUGGUCUGUAACUGACGCUGAGGCUAGAAAGCGUGGGGAGCGAACAGG
rnacentral:rRNA from 1 species